rnacentral:rRNA from 1 species
UACAGAGGAGCCAAGCGUUGUCCGGACUGACUGGGCGUAAAGCGCACGCAGGCGGAUGCGCGCGUGGGGUGUGAAAUCUGGCCGCUUAACGGCCAGGCGCCAUCCCAUACGGCGCGUCUGGAGUGAUGCAGAGGUCGAUGGAAUUGCCGGUGUAGUGGUGAAAUGCGUAGAGAUCGGCAGGAACACCCAGGGGGAAACCAGUCGACUGGGCACCUACUGACGCUGAGGUGCGAGAGCGUGGGGAGCGAACCGG